rnacentral:rRNA from 1 species
UACGAAGGGGGCUAGCGUUGUUCGGAAUUACUGGGCGUAAAGGGCGCGUAGGCGGCGCAACAAGUCACUUGUGAAAUCUCCGGGCUUAACUCGGAGCGGCCAAGUGAUACUGUCGUGCUGGAGUGCGGAAGGGGCUACUGGAAUUCUCGGUGUAGCGGUGAAAUGCGUAGAUAUCGAGAGGAACACCUGCGGCGAAGGCGGGUAGCUGGGCCGACACUGACGCUGAGGCGCGAAAGCUAGGGGAGCGAACGGG